AUUGAACGCUGGCGGCAUGCCUAACACAUGCAAGUCGAACGGGAACAGGGCGUCGGGUGGCGCAGAGUGGCGUAAGGGGGAGGAAUACAUCGGAACGUGCCGAAACGUGCGGGGUAAGGGGGGGAAAGCUUGGAUAAUAUCGCAUAACAACUAAGGAAGAGAGCAGGGGAGCGCAAGGGAUGGAGUGGUUGGAGGGGAGGAUGACAGAUUAGGUAGGUGGUGGGAUAUAUGUAUACAAAGACGAUGAUCUGCAACUCGUCGGAGAGGACGAGUAGCUACACUGGCACUGAGACACAGCACAGACACCUACGCGAGGCAACAGUCGGGAAUAUUGGACAAUGGGGGAAUGCCUGAUCCAGCAAUACCGCCUGAAGGCUGAAGGACUUCGGGUUGUAAAGUGCUUUUGUCCUGAAAGAAAAGAAGCUGUUUAAUACCGGGUGCUAAUGACGGUACCGUAAGAAUAAGCACCGGCUAACUCCGUG
rnacentral:rRNA from 1 species